rnacentral:rRNA from 1 species
CCUUCGGGGAACGUUAAGGGCGUCGAGCGGCGGACGGGUGAGUAAUGCCUAGGAAAUUGCCCUGAUGUGGGGGAUAACCAUUGGAAACGAUGGCUAAUACCGCAUGAUGCCUACGGGCCAAAGAGGGGGACCUUCGGGCCUCUCGCGUCAGGAUAUGCCUAGGUGGGAUUAGCUAGUUGGUGAGGUAAUGGCUCACCAAGGCGACGAUCCCUAGCUGGUCUGAGAGGAUGAUCAGCCACACUGGAACUGAGACACGGUCCAGACUCCUACGGGAGGCAGCAGUGGGGAAUAUUGCACAAUGGGCGCAAGCCUGAUGCAGCCAUGCCGCGUGUGUGAAGAAGGCCUUCGGGUUGUAAAGCACUUUCAGUCGUGAGGAAGGUGGUGGUGUUAAUAGCACUAUCAUUUGACGUUAGCGACAGAAGAAGCACCGGCUAACUCCGUGCCAGCAGCCGCGGUAAUACGGAGGGUGCGAGCGUUAAUCGGAAUUACUGGGCGUAAAGCGCAUGCAGGUGGUUUGUUAAGUCAGAUGUGAAAGCCCGGGGCUCAACCUCGGAAUAGCAUUUGAAACUGGCAGACUAGAGUACUGUAGAGGGGGGUAGAAUUUCAGGUGUAGCGGUGAAAUGCGUAGAGAUCUGAAGGAAUACCGGUGGCGAAGGCGGCCCCCUGGACAGAUACUGACACUCAGAUGCGAAAGCGUGGGGAGCAAACAGGAUUAGAUACCCUGGUAGUCCACGCCGUAAACGAUGUCUACUUGGAGGUUGUGGCCUUGAGCCGUGGCUUUCGGAGCUAACGCGUUAAGUAGACCGCCUGGGGAGUACGGUCGCAAGAUUAAAACUCAAAUGAAUUGACGGGGGCCCGCACAAGCGGUGGAGCAUGUGGUUUAAUUCGAUGCAACGCGAAGAACCUUACCUACUCUUGACAUCCAGAGAACUUUUCAGAGAUGAAUUGGUGCCUUCGGGAACUCUGAGACAGGUGCUGCAUGGCUGUCGUCAGCUCGUGUUGUGAAAUGUUGGGUUAAGUCCCGCAACGAGCGCAACCCUUAUCCUUGUUUGCCAGCGAGUAAUGUCGGGAACUCCAGGGAGACUGCCGGUGAUAAACCGGAGGAAGGUGGGGACGACGUCAAGUCAUCAUGGCCCUUACGAGUAGGGCUACACACGUGCUACAAUGGCGCAUACAGAGGGCAGCAAGCUAGCGAUAGUGAGCGAAUCCCAAAAAGUGCGUCGUAGUCCGGAUUGGAGUCUGCAACUCGACU